GUCAUCCCUACACUGUUACCACAAAAUGACCCAGCCAGAUAUAAACUUCACAGAUCAUUUCAGCCUUUUAUUCAGUGGGUCCAUGGGAAUGGACCCACUCUUCUGGUGGAAAAUGAGCCUCUGAACAAAGGAGGACACUGGGCUUAUAUAGAUUAUACUGAGAGGUGCCUUAAAUAAUGAGCAUGUCAGCUUGGGCACUCAGGAAUUUUGGGUCUGUCUUACUGGGCAAAAUGGGAGGGGUUCUGGGGUCAGCAGUCAGUCUCUGGGAUUUAUCUUACUGGGCCCAAUGAAAGGUUUGGGGUCACUGUAGUAUCUGGAAAGGAUUCACUUAGGAAAGGAUCAAUGCUUUGGCCUCUUCCUGGAGACUGCCUUUCUAGGUUGAUGGACACCUCCUCCCCAGGGUUUGUUUUAUCACCAGCAAAGAAUGUAUUGGGAAAGAUUCAAUGCUCUCAAUGUAUGGCUUUCUCACUCCCCUUUUCCCAGUUCUCACUAUUUUUGGAGUUUGUCAUCUUCCAUAUCUAAUAAAUACCGCAUUAGGAAUAUUUAUGGCCUUUUGUUUUCCAAUGAGAGGUAUUUCUUCACUUUGCUUUUACUUUAAACAUAGAUACUAUAAAUAUAAUAAAAC
rnacentral:lncRNA from 1 species